CAGUCGCCGCGGGAAUACGUAGGGUCCAAGCGUUGUCCGGAUUUACUGGGCGUAAAGAGCGCGUAGGCGGUCUGUUAAGUGUAGAGUGAAGGCUCCGGGCUCAACUCAGAAAUUGCUCUGCAUACUGGCAGACUUGAGGAUGGAAGAGGUUUGUGGAAUUCCUGGUGUAGCGGUGAAAUGCGUAGAUAUCAGGAGGAACACCCAUGGUGAAGGCAGCAAACUGGUCCAUAUCUGACGCUGAGGCGCGAAAGCGUGGGUAGCAAACAGGAUUAGAUACCCCCGUAGUCCCUGUCUCUUAUAC
rnacentral:rRNA from 1 species